rnacentral:rRNA from 1 species
AUACGGAGGGUGCAAGCGUUAUCCGGAAUCACUGGGUUUAAAGGGUGCGUAGGCGGCUUCAUAAGUCAGUGGUGAAAGCCUGCAGCUUAACUGUAGGACUGCCAUUGAUACUGUAAGGCUUGAGUACUGAUGAGGUAGGCGGAAUUGAUAGUGUAGCGGUGAAAUGCAUAGAUAUUAUCAAGAACACCGAUUGCGAAGGCAGCUUACUAAGGAGUUACUGACACUGAGGCACGAAAGCGUGGGGAUC